rnacentral:rRNA from 1 species
UAGGGAAUCUUCGGCAAUGGACGAAAGUCUGACCGAGCAACGCCGCGUGAGUGAAGAAGGUUUUCGGAUCGUAAAACUCUGUUGUUAGAGAAGUACAAGGACGUUAGUAACUGAACGUCCCCUGACGGUAUCUAACCAGAAAGCCACGGCUAACUACGUGCCAGUAGCCGCGGUAAUACGUAGGCGGCAAGCGUUGUCCGGAUUUACUGGGCGUAAAGCGAGCGCAGGCGGUUUCUUAAGUCUGAUGUGAAAGCCCCCGGCUCAACCGGGGAGGGUCAUUGGAAGCUGGGAGACUUGAGUGCAGAAGAGGAGAGUGGAAUUCCAUGUGUAGCGGUGAAAUGCGUAGAUAGAUGGAGGGACACCAGUGGCGAAGGCGGCUCUCUGGUCUGUAACUGACGCUGAGGCUCGAAAGCGUGGGGAGCAAACAGG